GAUGAACGCUGGCGGCGUGCCUAACACAUGCAAGUCGAACGGAAAGGCCCUGCUUUUGUGGGGUGCUCGAGUGGCGAACGGGUGAGUAACACGUGAGUAACCUGCCCUUGACUUUGGGAUAACUUCAGGAAACUGGGGCUAUUACCGGAUAGGAGCUCCUGCUGCAUGGUGGGGGUUGGAAAGUUUCGGCGGUUGGGGAUGGACUCGCGGCUUAUCAGCUUGAUGGUGGGGUAGUGGCUUACCAAGGGUUUGACGGGUAGCCGGCCUGAGAGGGUGGCCAGCGUCAUUAGGACUGCGGGACGGCGCAGACUCCUACGGGAGGCAGCAGUGGGGAGUAUUACACAAUGGGCGGGAGCCUGAUGCGGCAACGCCGCGUGCGGGAUGACGGCCUUCGGGGUGUGAACCGCUUUCGCCUGUGACGAAGCGUGAGUGACGGUAAUGGGUAAAGAAGCACCGGCUAACUACGUG
rnacentral:rRNA from 1 species